GUGGGAGGGAGAGUUAUUGCUUCUUAAUCCGGUGCCAUCCGCGAUUUGUGGAGGGUUACAGGCCUGCGAAUCCCACUAAGGGGCUUCUGUACUCUUUCCCUCAUCUUUGGGUGUGAAUAUUGAGUAGCCCUUGAGCGUUUUUGUUGAGAAAGGAUGCGGUCGACGGGCCGCGUAUGACCCUGCAAGCUCGUGCAACGCUUAAUUGGGCGCAAGGCCCUUGGAUCUCUUGUGGGACUUACUUCUGAACCUGAAUUUGCAAGAUCAUGUGCGACUGUGCUUUCCAGCUGCAAGAGUCAUCAGCUAUGUGUCUGUACCACAUGGUGCAUAUUCCUGAACAAGGAGCAGCUGUGUGGAAAACCCUUAAGAGGUAUAUUUGAGGACCAGUGCAUCUGAAUGAUGGGGAGGUACAAGGACCCUGGCCCAAAAAAAAGAUCUGCUGUUUCUUUCAAACAGCUGAAUGGAGCAGUUAAUUUAAAAGAUGGUGCUUCCAACAGAAUGCAGGACAUACGCCAGAGAGCCAGCCCUUGUGGACUGGACAGCUUGUCCUCCUGUCUCCAACGGAAGAAAAAAUGGUGAACCUGAAUUGGGGGCCCUCCCUCCCUUCCUGGUGGAGAUUUAGCAGAUGACUCCCUGAAGCCAACUACAUUCCUAAGCUAGCUGCCAGACCACUGGUCCAUCCAUCUCUGCAUUGUCUACAUGAACUGGCAGCAGAUGCAAAGAGGAAGAGCUCAAAUUGGGGCUCCUGCUGGUCUCUCCAGUAACUGGUAGCUUCCUUAGUUGUGAUAUUGCUGCAGCAUUGAUUCCUUCCAGCUCACUUCACCCAGCCUGUACAAGAUCACCCAGCCUUCUGCAUCCAACAGGCAUUCACAAUUGCUGGAGACUGUCCUCAAGAUGAUCAGCAAGCUGUCAGUGCUGUCGAUUGAUUUCCCCCCUGCCCCGCCCCAAGUGCUAAAGCAAUCAAUCCAAUGUUAUUGCUUGUAGCCAAUGGCCAUUACAAUACAAUGUGAACACAUUGCACAGCUGCAAAAUGACAGAGUUUCCUGAAAAACAUAUGUAGCUUAUUUAUGCUUUGUGGUGGCUUUCAAUUUGUGUGUAAUCAAUUUGUAAACUACUUUGCUUUUUAAGCAAAAACUAAAUUUCACAGAAAUGCAUUGUGGGCAGUACUGAAUAAAUUACAUAUGUGUGACA